rnacentral:tRNA from 2 species
GCAGAUGUAGUUUAGUGGUAGAACUUUGCCUUCCCAAGGCAAUAGUGUGGGUUCGAUUCCCAUCAUCUGCUCCA